CACUUGUCGGGGAAGGGUGAGAACCUUCGAUUAAGGUUCGACUCGAGCGAAAGCGAGAGAACGUUGCCAACGGCAACGGCCCGAAGGGUGAGGAGCGAAGCGACGAAUAAUCCUUCCCCCACCACCA
rnacentral:sRNA from 2 species